AACGAACGCUGGCGGCAUGCCUAACACAUGCAAGUCGAACGAGACCUUCGGGUCUAGUGGCGCACGGGUGCGUAACGCGUGGGAACCUGCCCUUAGGUUCGGAAUAACUCCCCGAAAGGGGUGCUAAUACCGGAUAAUGUCUUCGGACCAAAGAUUUAUCGCCUUUGGAUGGGCCCGCGUUGGAUUAGCUAGUUGGUAGGGUAAAAGCCUACCAAGGCGACGAUCCAUAGCUGGUCUGAGAGGAUGAUCAGCCACACUGGGACUGAGACACGGCCCAGACUCCUACGGGAGGCAGCAGUGGGGAAUAUUGGACAAUGGGCGAUAGCCUGAUCCAGCAAUGCCGGGUGAGUGAUGAAGGCCUUAGGGUUGUAAAGCUCUUUUACCCGGGAUGAUAAUGACAGUACCGGGAGAAUAAGCUCCGGCUAACUCCGUG
rnacentral:rRNA from 1 species